rnacentral:rRNA from 1 species
GUACCGGGGGACAACAGUUGGAAACGGCUGCUAAUACCGCAUAAGCGCACGGUUCCGCAUGGAACAGUGUGAAAAACUCCGGUGGUACAGGAUGGAUUCGCGUCUGAUUAGCCAGUUGGUGGGGUAACGGCCUACCAAAGCAACGAUCAGUAGCCGGCCUGAGAGGGUGAACGGCCACAUUGGGACUGAGACACGGCCCAAACUCCUACGGGAGGCAGCAGUGGGGAAUAUUGCACAAUGGGGGAAACCCUGAUGCAGCGACGCCGCGUGAGUGAAGAAGUUAUUCGUAACGUAAAGCUCUAUCAGCAGGGAAGAAAAUGACGGUACCUGACUAAGAAGCCCCGGCUAACUACGUGCCAGCAGCCGCGGUAAUACGUAGGGGGCAAGCGUUAUCCGGAUUUACUGGGUGUAAAGGGAGCGUAGACGGCACAGCAAGUCUGAUGUGAAAGCCCGGGGCCCAACCCCGGAACUGCAUUGGAAACUGCUGGGCUUGAGUGCAGGAGAGGUAAGCGGAAUUCCUAGUGUAGCGGUGAAAUGCGUAGAUAUUAGGAGGAACACCAGUGGCGAAGGCGGCUUACUGGACUGUAACUGACGUUGAGGCUCGAAAGCGUGGGGAGCAAACAGGAUUAGAUACCCUGGUAGUCCACGCCGUAAACGAUGAUUACUAGGUGUCGGGGG